CCCCCCUCUGAGAAGCCGGGAUGAGCUGAGCCCUCGCCGCCCUCUGCCCUUUCCCAGAGAGAGCAGCUGUCCUGCGAGGGGGGUGUGYGUGCGGUUUGAGAACCGGCCUGUUCAUUGAGGCACAAGAGUUGGUGUGUUUACGGACUGGCUUCUGCUCUGAGCUUGUAGGUCUGUUUUGAUAUCCAGUUGCAGGAAAGGGUUCCUCCUUUCCCCCCCCCCCCGGUUCUGUACACAAAGUACUCGCUUACCGCUGGGGACGCGGCCCUAUAGGCAGAGAACAAAUUCCAGCCGGGGUUCUUGAAGCUAAACUGCCUCCUGAGAUGGCUUCUGAAAUUGGAAUACACAGCGUUUUUGGGACGCGCCUUUGUUGGAUUUUAAUAUAUGUCCUGCUAACAACAGCUUUCAACUAUGGAAUCGGGAAGAGUUGUUCUUGCUGUUAUUCUCCAGUGCUGGCAGUUGUGUGUGGUGGGAACCAAGUAAGAGGUGUUACUCGCUGCUGUCUGAGGGUUCAGCCUUACAGUAUCUAUCCUGGCAGUAUUAUGGAGGGGCAGGUCAGUGGUGCAGGGUUGAAGGUCAUCCUCUGCAUGUCCAAAAACGCAACGAAGAAGGCUUUUCAGCAGGUAACCUACGGUGCGUUGCUUCUGCCGUGGGGCUUUGAGUACUUGGUGGACCUCUUGGUUCAUGCUGCAGUGAAAUUAUUUGUGAUCAAGUUGUCAUUAUGAUACUAAAGGCUUUUAUUAAAGGAGAGUUACUCCAUGUAGAAAAAUACAGGUCAGCUGUAUCAGGUGGCUUUGCGAGCUUGKAGGUUUCUUUUGUGCUGGGUUUUGAGGGGAAAAAAAAUCAUUGUACUUCGUUUGUCCAUAUUAAUUCCAAGGUAUUCAGAUGGAGACAAGAGGUUAUUUCAGUUUCCCUUAGUGAAUAUUAAUAGCAGUAGAAGCCUUUCACAGGGAAACAAAACAGGCCAGGCAUCAGUAACUCUCCCCUGCUGCAGCUUAGUAAUUAAAGUGUAUCGAGUGUGAGACCUUUUGCUGUAGUAUGCAGUAACUCUUUCUUUAAUGGGUGUUCUGCAGUUCCCUGAAAAACUGAGUUGAAUCUCAACAUCAAUUAUAAAACAUAUUGUUUACUACAUAAUGUAUUUCAUUGUUACAAAAACCUUUCAUUCUCAGUUUUGAAAGAAACAGUAUUUUGCAUUUUUGUAUGCAAACCAUACUUUUUUUUAAAAAAAGAUAAUAAUUGCAAUAGCUUUCACUUAAAUGAAAA
rnacentral:lncRNA from 1 species